rnacentral:rRNA from 1 species
UACGUAGGGUGCGAGCGUUGUCCGGAAUUACUGGGCGUAAAGCGUGCGUAGGCGGUUUGUUAAGUCUGAUGUGAAAGCCCUGGGCUCAACCUGGGAAUGGCAUUGGAUACUGGCAACCUAGAAUGUGGUAGAGGGUGGCGGAAUUCCCGGUGUAGCAGUGAAAUGCGUAGAUAUCGGGAGGAACAUCCGUGGCGAAGGCGGCCACCUGGACCAACAUUGACGCUGAGGCACGAAAGCGUGGGGAGCAAACAGG